AGAGAGGGGUCUCUACUAUAAAUAAGUAACAAAGGAUAUGAAUUGUCAGCAGUUGACUCUCACUGGGAGAAGUUAGCUGUUCACAUAUACCACAUAUACCAUUCCAAAAUUUGGAACAUUACAUUUAAUCGUCUAUUUUGAGCCGCCAGUCAUAGAAAUUUCAAUACCACUUUAAUAAUGUUGGUCGGGAUUUUGGGUCAGCCCAUGCUUAGGCCGGGUGUCCAUCGCAGAUGGGAGGGUCUACACGAGCGUCGUUAAGUUAUCAUUUCGGUGAUUUCUUCUUGACGCUCGCGUACCUUACUCACAACAAAUGUACCAAAGAUUAUCCAUAAUUGCGACAUGAGACCACAUAUCGUUGCUUAAAGAAGCUCUCUGUAUCCUACUAACGUAUCCCACUUUUAUGUUACGGGAAGGGGGUGCUCCCUUUGAGCAUACGUGCAAGGAACUUAUCGUUCCUUGUAUUGAGGAUUCUGUCCGAUAUGGAGUCUAUAAACGACUUCAACAUCACGUAUAAGAACGCCAAUGGUACUUGAUUCAAGAUAACUACCAUCAUGUUAUAUAGAUUUUUUUUAAUAAAUGGUUUUUAAGAAUGGUAAAUUUUGUUUUAUUUGUAUUGUAAUUUCAAUGUAUAGUCAAAAAUUUAUUUAAUAGUUUUACAAACCUUUAAUGUAGGCAACCAAGAUUAUAUCAGAUCUAAUAAAUAUAGAGGGAUAUAAAUGAAUCAAGGAGUAUUGAACAAUUUGAUCGUUGAAAAGUCAAAAAAAUUAAUAAAAGAUGCCUUUACGUGCAAGAAAAUCUGUUACGGAUGUUUCAAAUCAUAACUGUACACUUCCCCAAGAAGAAGAUAUAUUGGUGCGAUACAUUUCCGGUGGAUAUUUUGUAAUGUUUAGGAGAUGGAUUAAGAGACAAACAAUGGUUUGGGAGUCAAAUCCGCGUAGUAAAAUGUACCUAAAGUCGACAUUUAACAUUCGCAGAGAGAAAAUAAUUCACUUGGAAGAUCAUUAUUACAUGAUACACCCAUUCAGUUCGAUGAAAUGUUACUGGGAGUUUAUGAUGAUCAUCGCGAUAACGCUCAUGUUGAUAAUCGUCCCAAUCGUGUUGUGUUGGGAACAUGUUACGAGUGGAGUGUUGGUUCUGCGUAUAACAUUAGACAUUUUGUGUUUUAUAGAUAUAUUAAUCGGAUUUCAAAGUGGUUAUUUGGAUGAUAAAACCAAGAAAAUUAUAUUGUCACAGAAAAAGGUAGCCAUGAAAUAUCUAAAAGGUAGAUUCCUCACAGAUUUUUUGCCGUUAAUUAACUCGGAUAUUAUGAGUGUCUUUAUGGAAUCGCAAUCAACCGAUUCCACAUCAAACAUAUCUGGAACAAAUUCGAUUAGAUUUAUGAAUAUCAUAAAAAUCCUUAGAAUUUUCACAUUGACUGUUUACAUGAACCGAUUACGCGAAUUUUAUCAAUACAGCAUCUUUCGAUUUAAGAUGUUUAAAUUGUUAUUAAUCACGUUUUUAUUACUGUUGUGGGCGACGGGCGUUUUGUUUGUUUUAGCAAGAGAAUCUGAAGAGGAAUGGUUGAUUAACCCGGACGACGAAAAUUAUCUAAACACAAACUUGGUGAUAUGUUUCGUGGAAGUUUUCGACUUCUUUUUCCUGAUCGAUCAUUAUCCGACGAAAAGUUUGAUUCUUUUACCGUUCGAAUUGGCGGCUUUAGCGGUCGGAGUUGUUUUGCAAAUGUACUUUAUUUCACAAAUUCUUCAAUUAGUCGAAAAACACAAAACCAGUGAAAAUAAGUAUAACGACAAAAACAUACAAUUACAUAAUUACGUGCGUAAUAAGCAAGUACCACCAUCAAUCGCAUCAAAGUGCCAAGAUUAUUUCGAUUUUAAAUUUCAAAAAAGUUAUUAUCGUGAAUCUGAAAUUCUACAAACCUUAUCGACUACUUUAAGGUCCGAAAUUAAUUCCCACAUUUGUGAACGACUCCUGGAAAACGUCGACAUCCUAAAAGAUAUGCCCUUUUCAGUUAUCACCAUGCUCACGGGGUUAAUGGAAGAAGAAAUUUAUUUACCCAACGAUAUCAUAACAAGGGCAGGGGAUAUUGGAGAUUGUAUGUAUUUUAUUUCAUCAGGAAUGGUUGCUGUUUAUACACCAGGCGGUAAAGAAAUUUGCCACAUUUCAAACGGUGGUAAUUUCGGAGAAGUUUGCAUGAUUAUGAAACAUACGUCGAGAGUUGCCACAGUUAUUGCUGUUGAUUAUUGUGAUCUCUACGUUUUGUCUAGAAAAUGUUUUCUGUCUGCGAUUAAAACCUAUCCGGAUCUUUAUCGGAAAACAAUGGCGAUUUCCAAGAAAAGAAUGUCUCAAGUUGUUCAAACGCAACACGGGAGAUAUCGACCUGAAGAAUUUUAUGAUAUGCGAACCCCAGAAGGUGUUUUUUAUUUUAAGAAAUCUUUAUACGAAUUAUAAAUUUACAAAGAUACAAUGUCGACCAAUUGUCAUAAUAGAUUCCGAUCUUCCAAGCAUUUUGAAUUGCUUUUCCGUCUUUCCUUUUAAUUAUCCUUUACUUUAUACUUUUCAACUUUAGCAUUAGCCCCGGUUUCAUUGAAAAUUCUCAAACCGGUUAUUGUCACAUUACAUUUUUUAUUAUCGAUUGUAAAUCUGUAACUCCACAUUUUUUUGAGCUUUCAUCACCAUCCAUAUCAACGAUUUCUUGGAGAUACCAAUCACCAACAGCCUGUUAAAAAAUGGUUCAUUAUUUAGAACCAUUUAAAUAUGAUAUUGAGAUUACUGAAGUUCUCGGAUAAGGAAACUUGGACUCUUCAAAAGGAAUCGGUAACAAAGAUUCUUGAUUCUUCGGAAUGGUAUACUGGAUUAAUUGGAUCAGGAACUAGUUAAUUUUCAUGUUUAUUAUUAAAGAUUUCAACGUCAGCUUCAAAAAUAUAUUCAAAUAUUUAAUCUAUGGAUUUUCGUCCAUUCUUCAUCAAAACUCCCAUAUGAUGGAUGGUUUUCGUUCUUGACAUGCUAAGAUUAUCGUUUUCAAUAGUUUCAACCGGACAAACAUGAAUUACAAUAAGAAAUUAAUGAAAAAUAGAAUUUGAGGUUAUGUUACUGUCAAAAUUCUACAAAAUUACUUCGUAUUGACUUUACAUGGAUUAAAUACAAUAAAAAAACGUAAACGGUCAACAAUACAUAAUGAAUUCUAAAAUA